rnacentral:rRNA from 1 species
UACGGGGGGAGCAAGCGUUGUUCGGAUUUACUGGGCGUAAAGGGCGCGUAGGCGGCCUCCGCAAGUCAGUUGUGAAAUCUCCGAGCUUAACUCGGAAAGGUCAACUGAUACUGCGGGGCUAGAGUGCGGAAGGGGCAACUGGAAUUCUUGGUGUAGCGGUGAAAUGCGCAGAUAUCAGGAAGAACACCCGUGGCGAAGGCGGCUCUCUGGGACGGUACUGACGCUGAGGAGCGAAAGCCAGGGGAGCAAACGGG